GUAAAAAUUUAUCUUUAAGUGAAGAAGCUUAAAUAAUUAUGCAGGACAAGAAGACCCUAUAGAGCUUUACCUAAACAUUACAUUAUAAGUAAUUAAGGGUUCGGUUGGGGCGACCUGGGGACAUAAAUCACCCCUUAAAAUUUAGACAAACACGUCAUUAAAAAGAUCCUAAACUAAGAUCAACGAAUCAAGCUACCUUAGGGAUAACAGGCUAAUCCUCUUAGAGAGCCCUUAUCGACAAGAGGGGUUGGCACCUCGAUGUUGGCUUAGGACUUCUUUACGCCGCAGCAGGCGUAACCAGAUGGUUUGUUCAACCAUUAAA
rnacentral:rRNA from 1 species